rnacentral:rRNA from 1 species
CCUACGGGAGGCUGCAGUGGGGAAUAUUGGACAAUGGGGGCAACCCUGAUCCAGCAAUGCCGCGUGUGUGAAGAAGGUUUUCGGAUUGUAAAGCACUUUCGGCGGGGACGAUGAUGACGGUACCCGCAGAAGAAGCCCCGGCUAACUUCGUGCCAGCAGCCGCGGUAAUACGAAGGGGGCUAGCGUUGCUCGGAAUGACUGGGCGUAAAGGGCGUGUAGGCGGUUUGUACAGUCAGAUGUGAAAUCCCCGGGCUUAACCUGGGAGCUGCAUUUGAUACGUGCAGACUAGAGUGUGAGAGAGGGUUGUGGAAAUCCCAGUGUAGAGGUGAAAUUCGUAGAUAUUGGGAAGAACACCGGUGGCGAAGGCGGCAACCUGGCUCAUGACUGACGCUGAGGCGCGAAAGCGUGGGGAGCAAACAGGAUUAGAUACCCGAGUAGUC